AUGCAAAUGAUGGAAACUUUUUUUGCGUCUGAAAGAAAUGAUGCUUUCAAAGGAACCACUGAUGCAU